rnacentral:rRNA from 1 species
UACGGAGGGUGCGAGCGUUGUCCGGAAUCACUGGGCGUAAAGGGCGCGUAGGCGGCCUGAUAAGUAGGGGGUGAAAUCCUGCGGCUUAACCGCAGGGCUGCCUUCUAAACUGUCGGGCUGGAGCACAGUAGAGGCAGGUGGAAUUCCCGGUGUAGCGGUGGAAUGCGUAGAGAUCGGGAAGAACAUCAGUGGCGAAGGCGGCCUGCUGGGCUGUUGCUGACGCUGAGGCGCGACAGCGUGGGGAGCAAACAGG